CCCCGUGUUGUUUUAGCAAUAAAUCUGUAAGAACAGCUGUUCUGAUUCAGAGCAAGCACUUACAGUUCAAUAUCCUGUCUCUGAUGGUGAUCAGCAGGUAUCUAGGGAAGCAUACAAGAGCAGUGAUAAAGUGGUGGAAUCUAAGGUGAGGUUUCUUAGUUUACCAGUUUUAUGGUGGCAUCAGGAUUUUCAGAAUCUGCUUUCUAAUCAUAAUGCUGAAAUGACAGGUGUGAGACACUUAACAGCCUCAGCUUUCUCUUAAAGACUCUGGUGGUGAUAGGAUGAUAAAAAAGGGAAAGAACCCUGAAAAGCAAUGGAUAGUAUGUAAAAGAGAGAGAAAUAAUGGGAUAGGCUGGGAAAAGGCCAAAAAGGGACUAUAACUACAGAAUAGUGUAAAGAAAUGACAAAAAUGGGUGGCUUGUUGCCCUCCUGCACUGGAGCUUACAAAGACCUUGUCCUGGGGGGCUCAGCCAUCACCUGCAUCGCAUCGUUGGGGCAUGGGGGAGAGAGGCAAAACCAGGACACAGAGAAAUAGUUGGCCUGAGCCUGGUUCAAGGCAAGAAAGACAGCAGAGGGCAGACAAAUUAGGUGUGGGAGAAGAAACACGUGGGAAAGGGGAGCGUGAUGAUGGGAGUGUCCAAGAAACCCGUAGAAACUGAAUUAUUCUCUGUCUCCAAAUAUCUGUCCAUUCAAAUUGAUGAAUAAGAAAUGUUGUCUGUGUAGAAAAUUUGUUUUGCAGGUUUGUACUGACACCCUUGGAGCAUUGCUGUAUUUUUCCCAGGCUUCAAGACACCCAGGUUUUAUUUUUAGUGCUAUGAACCUGUUCCAGCUUGCUGCAGUCAUUACUACUAAGACCAUCUAAAUAGCAACUCCAAAAAGCUAUUAAAGCAAUGUAAAUAGUAAUAAAUUGUUUUGGCUUUGUGUGGGUUAAAAGGUACACUUAGGAGGGACUUGAUUUUGGGUCAGGUUUUUUAAUGCUCUAGAGCAAAAGCGUGACAAGCCUUACUUACAUCACUGCUGAGCAGAGGUGAUGCUGCUGUACUUUAAAUAAAAGGCAUGAGGGCGUUGGGACUGGGAUAUUCACUGCAACAGUCACUUAAAAGAAGAUUUUUAAGGGAAGCUUUUACAAAGGUGUGUGGAAAACUGUUAUUGACUAUCUAAAGCAAAUUCAAGAAUAAUAUCCAGGAGGUGUUGCAGUGGGCGAGGAGGUGUUAAAGCAAAGUGCUCACCAAAGUAAGUCAUGCUGCAAGCUAGGAUCAAACCUGACAAAUCCAGGGUUUAUUGUAUGUAGCAGGAUGAAGAGAAGAGGAUGCAUUUGAGUACAAAAGGGCAAAACCCAUCCUGAAUUUAAGCACAGUUUACAUAAUCCUGUGAGCAAGGAGGGGAGUUGGUACAACCAGCAAAAGGGGCUGCUGGUGGUACCUUCCAGAAGGGACAGCUUCACCUGUGGGUGCAGACCAGGCAGAGGAGAUUGGUUCAUCAGCUCAUAGACAAGAGAGAAACAAAAGGAAGAUACAGAAGAGAAGUUGAAGAAGAAAGGACAGACAGAGGAAAAAAUAGUGGAGAAAAUCAGAACAGAGUUGGCUUUUCUAAAAGGAGGUGUCCAGGAAGCAAAAUGAGCAGCUUCCCUCUUUUUUUUUCCCCUGUUUUUAGCCCAUCCCAGAUACUGCAAUUCUGAGAUAAGUGGGUCAGGCAAAAGGACAUAAUUAAUAGUGAUUUCACAGUUGCUGUGGGUACAGGAGAGCAUAGUGGGAAGGAUGGAUUCAAGGAGAUGUUGGCAGGCUCUCAGUGGAAAGCUCCCAGCUGAGCCCCAGGUUGCCAUGCCCAUCUUGUGCCGUAAGACUGUGGGCUGUGCCAGCCAGGUGGGAGCUGGAUCAGAGUGGGAAUGGAGCAGAUGGAUGCUCCUCUGGGUGCUCUGGUGGAUGGAGUGCAGCACAUCUUAAGUACCCUGAAUUUAGUGUGGGACAGGAUGCAUUUGUGAGAGCAGCUGGGGAAAGGAUGGGUCAAACCUUGGUGAAGCAUUGUGGGGAGACAAAGAGCUCAGUGCCCUGACCAGGGGCCAUAAUGGAACGUAAUGUUUUUCUGUCAGAUAUUCUGAGUUUAUUACUAAGGAACAUUUCUUGUUUCCCACAUCACCUCCAGUUUCUGUUACCUUGCAGUGCUUUGUUUCCUCUGGUUGGUGGUCAUGCAGCAUCAGCAGGGCUUGUGUGGGAUGUGCUGCACAUGGUCCAAGGACAGCAUUCUGUGCAUUUCUGCUGAGAGAUUACCUUGGGUUUAACCUCUGGAGAUAAGGAGAGAGCACAUGGAGCAAGUUACAGUUUGAGGGUGCUGCUGCAGAGAAACUGCUUCAGACAGAUGUAGUGGCAUUGCUGUCAUGGGAGAUGGAAGGACAAACCACUUGUGUUGUUCAUAUCUGCUUUCUGCAAAGUGUAAUUUUAUUUGCUUUUCUUUUCCUGAUGGAGCCAAGUUGCUGUGCCCUGGUCAGGGGAUGGUGCCAUGAUUUUGGAUGCUUCUAAAGCCUUGAUGGGUCUUUGUGAAUUCUGGUGCCCCAUCUGCUCUUGGACAGGAGGAACCCCUUGGAUUAACAUUCCCAACAGUCUCUGUGCUUGGAUUACACAUGCCCAACAUCACCUGCUUGUGCUGUCACCAGAGCCUGCAAGAAAAGCUUUUCUCUUGAGGAGGAAAUGCCUGAACAGGAGCUUUUUACAUCCCUAUGACACAUUCAACUCAGCCACUGUGGAAAUGUAGCUGGGAGCAGCAUGUCCUGGCUGCUCAUGAAGAUUCUCUUCAUCCAGCUGUGGCCUGUCAGGGCCAGCUGUUGGGACCUCACUGACCUGCAUCCCUUGCUGGGGAUGACUUGUUUGUGAGGUUGGACACUGCUUGCAGAAGAAGGGCAAUGCCUGGGACGGGCUGUCCCUGAUGGAGAGGGGAGUGCAACACCUUGGCAAGAUGAUCUUAUUUCCUUGCCUCCAGAAAAACAGUAAAUUCAUGCUUUCAGGUCUGUAAAAGUGCUUGUGGGUACCAACAGUGCAGAAUAGUUGACUGUGUACAUCUCGUGGUUUCAGCUCUUGAAUGCAGAGGAUGAAGCAAAAGCAUCUUAGGGGUUGGAUUUUUAUUUUAGAUCCAGUCUACGUUUCAGAUUUUAGGACAUAUUUUGGGGUCUGAACUUUAUGGUAUUGAACCUUUGUCCUUUUUGUGAAAAUAAAAAGACUCUCCUCUCUGUGGU